rnacentral:rRNA from 3 species
ACGGGUGAGUAAUGCCUAGGAAUCUGCCUGGUAGUGGGGGACAACGUUUCGAAAGGAACGCUAAUACCGCAUACGUCCUACGGGAGAAAGCAGGGGACCUUCGGGCCUUGCGCUAUCAGAUGAGCCUAGGUCGGAUUAGCUAGUUGGUGAGGUAAUGGCUCACCAAGGCGACGAUCCGUAACUGGUCUGAGAGGAUGAUCAGUCACACUGGAACUGAGACACGGUCCAGACUCCUACGGGAGGCAGCAGUGGGGAAUAUUGGACAAUGGGCGAAAGCCUGAUCCAGCCAUGCCGCGUGUGUGAAGAAGGUCUUCGGAUUGUAAAGCACUUUAAGUUGGGAGGAAGGGUUGUAGAUUAAUACUCUGCAAUUUUGACGUUACCGACAGAAUAAGCACCGGCUAACUCUGUGCCAGCAGCCGCGGUAAUACAGAGGGUGCAAGCGUUAAUCGGAAUUACUGGGCGUAAAGCGCGCGUAGGUGGUUUGUUAAGUUGGAUGUGAAAUCCCCGGGCUCAACCUGGGAACUGCAUCCAAAACUGGCAAGCUAGAGUAUGGUAGAGGGUGGUGGAAUUUCCUGUGUAGCGGU